UACAGAGGAGCCAAGCGUUGUCCGGAUUGACUGGGCGUAAAGCGCACGCAGGCGGCACCGCGCGUGGGGUGUGAAAUCUGGCCGCUUAACGGCCAGGCGCCAUCCCAUACGGCGGAGCUGGAGUGAUGCAGAGGUCGAUGGAAUUGCCGGUGUAGUGGUGAAAUGCGUAGAGAUCGGCAGGAACACCCAGGGGGGAAACCAGUGGACUGGGCAGGCGGCUGACACUCAUGUGCGAAAGCGUGGGGAGCGAACCGG
rnacentral:rRNA from 1 species